UACGGAGGGUGCAAGCGUUAUCCGGAUUUACUGGGUUUAAAGGGUGCGUAGGUGGAUAAUUAAGUCAGUGGUGAAAUCUUCAGGCUUAACCUGGAAACUGCCAUUGAUACUAUUUGUCUUGAAUACUUUGGAGGUAAGCGGAAUAUGUCAUGGUAGCGGUGAAAUGCUUAGAUAUGACAUAGAACACCAAUUGCGAAGGCAGCUUACUACACAGUAAUUGACACUGAGGCACGAAGCGUGGGAUCAAACAGGA
rnacentral:rRNA from 1 species